CAACCAGCUCGGGUCCCCUUCCACACCGUGGAAGCUUUGUUCUUUCACUCUUUGCAAUAAAUCUUGCUACUGCUCACUCUUCGGGUCCAGGCUGCUUUUAUGAGCUGUAACACUCACCGCGAAGAUCUGCAGCUUCACUCCUGAGCCAGCGAGACCACGAACCCACCAGAAGGAAGAAACUCCAAACACAUCUGAACAUCAGAAGGGACAGACUCCAGACGUGCCACCUUAAGAGCUGUAACACCGCGAGGGUCCGCAGCUUCAUUGUUGAAGCCCUCCGAACCCUGAAGAGAUCAUCAUAUAUAUGUGCUGCCGAAGCGAGCACUCCUGAAGAGAUUAACUAAGAGUCUAGCACCUUUUAAGGUCUGAAUAGGAAACAUCUGUCAUCUAUUCUCUCUAAGGGCAGCCACUAUAAGAGUUCAAAAGAAACUUGCUCGCCACAAUCUUUUUUUUUUUUUUUUGAGAUGGAGUCUCACUCUGUUGCCCAGGCUGGAGUAGAGUGGCACCAUCUUGUCUCACUGCAACCUCCACCUCCCAGGUUCAAGUGAUCCUCCUGCCUCAGGCCCCCUAGUAGCUAGGAUUACAGGCACGCAUCACCAUGCCUGGCUAAUUUUUUUUUUUUUUUUGAGAUGGAGUUUCAUGCUGUUGCCCAGGCUGGAGUGCAAUGGCGCCAUCUUGACUCACUGCAACCUCCAUCUCCUGGGUUCAAGCCAUUCUCCUGCCUCAACUUCCCGAGUAGCUGGGAUUACAGGCGCCUGCCACCACGCCCAGCUAAUUUUUGUAUUUUUAGUAGAGAAGCGGUUUCACCAUGCUGGCCAGGCUGGUCUCGAACUCCCGACCUCAGGCUAUCCGCCUGCCUCAGCCUCCCAAAGUGCUGGGAUUAUAGAUGUGAGCCAGUGCGACUGGCCUAAGUGCUGGGAUUACGGGAGUGAGCCGCUGCGCCUGGCCUAAGUGCUGGGGUACAGGCGUGAGCCACCAGGCCAGCGAAGUCUCCACAAUCUUUUUUUUCUUUUUUUUUUGAGGCAGAGUCUCCCUCUGUCACCAGGCUGGAUUGCAGUGGCGAUCUCGGCUCACUGCAACCUCUGCCUCCCAGGUUCAAGCAAUUCUCCUGCCUCAGCCUCCUGAGUAGCUGGGACUACAGGAACGCACCACCAACCCCAGCUAAUUUUUGCAUUUUUGGUAGAGACAGGGUUUCUCCAUGUUGGCCAGGAUGGUCUCCAUCUCUUGACCUCGUGAUCUGCCCACCUCUGCCUCCCAAAGUGCUGGGAUUAUAGGUGUGAACGACCGUGCCCGGCCCCCACAAUCUUUUAUCUUAACCUGAGCAUUUCCUUUCUAUGGAUCCCAGGUCUUUAGACAAACUCAUCCAAUUGUCAACCAGAAAAUGUUUAAAUUUACCUAUAGCCUGGAAGGCCCCCCGACCGACGCCCUCCCGCCCCCGCCCCCGCCGCCCCUCCACUGCCUUAUCUGCUUUGAGUUGUCCCGCCUUUCUGGACCAAACCAAUGUACUUCUUAAAUGUAUUUGAUUAAUGUCUCAUGCCCUCCCUAAAAUGUAUAAAACCAAGCUGCACCCAACCACCUUGGGCACAUGUUCUCAGGAUCUCCUGAGGGCUGUGUCACAGACCAUGGUCACUCAUAUUUGGCUCAGAAUAAAUUUCUUUAAAUAUUUUACAGAGUUUGACUCUUUUUGUCAACACUGUGCACUUCAAAAAUGUUCAUGUCAUAGAAAACAAAGUUUGAGGAACUGUUCUAGAUUAAAGGAGC
rnacentral:lncRNA from 10 species